rnacentral:rRNA from 1 species
CACGUAGGGCGCAAGCGUUGUCCGGAAUUAUUGGGCGUAAAGAGCCUCGUGAGCGGUCUGUUGCGUCCGCUGUGAAAACCCGGGGCUUAACCCCUGGCUUGCAGUGGAUACGGACAGACUAGAGGUAGGUAGGGGAGAAUGGAAUUCCCGGUGUAGCGGUGAAAUGCGCAGAUAUCAGGAGGAACACCGAUGGCGAAGGCAGGUCUCUGGGCCAUAACUGACGCUGAGAAGCGAAAGCAUGGGGAGCGAACAGG